rnacentral:rRNA from 1 species
GACAGAGGCCUCGAGCGUUAGGCGGAAUCACUGGGCUUAAAGCGUGUGUAGGCGGACCCCUAAGUGUCUUGUGAAAUCCCACGGCUCACCCGUGGAACCGCUGGGUAUACUGGGCGUCUUGGGCCAUUCAGGGGCAACUGGAACAAGCGGUGGAGCGGUGAAAUGCGUAGAUAUCGCUUGGAACGCCGACGGUGAAAACAGGUUGCUGGGAAUGUGCCGACGCUGAGACACGAAAGCCAGGGGAGCAAACGGG